AACUUUUGCCCAGCCCUUUGGCCUCCCCCGCCUGCCUUCCCCCCCACCGUAUGCUCAGGAAGGGAUCCAGCUGCAGAUCCCCACAGACCCUCCAAAGCCGCUCACACGCCCACCUGCAGGGGCAGAGCUAACAGGAGAGUCGGGGGUGGGGGGCCUUAAAAACACCUUCAAGUCCCAAAGGACCAGGACUUGGGUGGGGCCGUGAGGCAUACUGAGGGCACAACAUUCAAGGGAUCAAGAGAAAUGAUAUUUCAGUAUUUUUGACAAGAUCAGCACAAGCAAAGUCAUGGUGAACAGAGCGCCGGAAUUCCAAGUGAGCAGCCCGGUGGGGAGGGUGGGCGUGGGGGGAGGCAGGCGGGAGAGCUCUGGGGUCGGACCCCCCCACCCGGCUGCAUGAAGUUAGGCCUGAUGCUGGUUUAACACAACCUAGGGGACGUGCGGCCCUAGGUUUCGGGGGUCCUGGCUGACCGGGCGCCCAGCAGCUACGUCCGCCCCCGGCCCAGGCUCCUGGGGCGCUUCUGCUGCGGCCCCGUGGCAGAUCCCCGCUUUUGCUUUGACCAAAGCCACCGCCGUGAGGAUGGUUUACAGGACGCAGCUCCCGAAAACACACUCCUGCUAUGGAAGAGGCGGUAGGUCAUCCCGCCACCGCGCUGCGCCCAAAGCGCCGGACGGCGGCGGCUGUCAUCACGUGGGCCGGAUCGGCUCCGAGCGUGGGGCCCUCCGCGAGGGGACUCAGGGGACCGAUGGACAAGCUGCGGGAAGUUGCAGGGGCCGGCGAGCCACACCUGUCUGGGCGGCACAUCCGUGGACAGAGGGGGGACACGCGGGUCCCUCAGCGCAGAGGAAGGGCAAUGCGUGUUUUGGGGGGAAGGCCAGGAGGUCCCCAGUUCCAUGUGGUGUUUCACGAGGAAGGCAACCACGGCCACGGGGGCCCCUGGUGCACAGGACGCAUCCCCGGGGGGAGGCCCUACACGGGUCCCUCACAACCUGGCAGGGAGAAGCCAGGACGGGGGGCCUUCCGGGCCUGGAGCGGCUGGAGGGGGGGCACCAGGACGCCAGGGAGGGAGCCGGGCCCACCGGCCCAGACCCCUGAUGGCUCGAGCAGGGGACAGGGCAGCUCCUGGGGUGGGUGGAGGUGGGGGGUGGGGGUGGCCUCAGGGAGAACCUGGGUGUGCAGGGUCCAGAGGCAGAGACAGGUGCUAGAGUCAUUGCUGUGCUUAUGCAAAGCCACAGAAACACAGCACAUCCACCCGUGAGCAGCCUGCCCAAGCUAAGUAGGAUUUUCAGCACAAUCCUACACUCUGGAUAGAGUUUGACCGGGUCUGAAGGGCAGUUACACCUGUCUUUCAUAACAUCAGGAAAACAAAUCAAUUCUUAAUACAUGGCAGAAACAGAUGCUUUUUUUUUUUUUUUUUUUUAACAGACUCUAUAGUUUAGGGUUUUUUUUUUUUUUUUUUUUUUUUUAGAUUUUAUCCAUUUAUUCAUGAGAGUCACAGAGAGAGAGGCAGAGAUACAGGCAGAGGGAGAAGCAGGCUCCAUGCAGGGAGCCCAACGUGGAACUCGAUCCCGGGACCCUGGCCAGGAUCAUGACUUGAGCCAAAGGCAGACACUCAACCACUGAGCCACCCAGGCGUCCCCAGGAUUUAUUUAUUUAGCAAGACCCUGAGAUCACAACCUGAGCCGAGACCAAGAGUCAGACGCUUAACAGGCUGCACCACCCAGGGGGCCCCUAAAGAGGCUAUUUUUUAAAGCAGUGUUAGGUUUACAGAAAAACUGAGUGUAGAGUGCAGUGAUCCCCUGAGCCCCUGCCUCCCCACUCCUCUCCUCCUCCACUAGUAACGCCUCACGCCCACGUGGAAUGCGUGUUAAAAUGGAGGAGCCAACCCUGGCGUGUUAUUUAUCUUAUAACCGAGGUCCACAGUUUACAGCAGCCUCCCCCCGCCCCCCGGCUGUUGGCCGCUCUGUUUGCAUGACUGCACAGUGAUGACACGUAUGCACUGUCACAGCCUCGCACAGAGGGGUUCUCCGCUCACCCCUCCCUCACCCCCAACCCCAACCGUCUCCGUAGCUCUGCUUUCUCCAGGAUGUCAUUGGGUUGGAACCCCACCGUCUGCGGCCUUCUCGGACGGGCUUCUUUCCCUGAGUGACGGACACUGAAGAUUCCUCCAAGUCUUCUGGUGACCUGCUAGCGCGCUCUUUCUCUUGACCGCCGGACAAUAAUACUCCAGUGUCUGGAUGGACCAGUUUAUUUCUCCAUCACCUACUGAAUAGUGUAUCUUGGUUGCUUUCAAGAUUUAGUGAAUAGGAAUAAAGCUGCUAUAAACAUCCGUGUGUAGAUUUUU
rnacentral:lncRNA from 12 species